UACGUAGGGGGCUAGCGUUAUCCGGAAUUACUGGGCGUAAAGGGUGCGUAGGUGGUUUCUUAAGUCAGAGGUGAAAGGCUACGGCUCAACCGUAGUAAGCCUUUGAAACUGGGAAACUUGAGUGCAGGAGAGGAGAGCGGAAUUCCUAGUGUAGCGGUGAAAUGCGUAGAUAUUAGGAGGAACACCAGUUGCGAAGGCGGCUCUCUGGACUGUAACUGACACUGAGGCACGAAAGCGUGGGGAGCAAACAGG
rnacentral:rRNA from 1 species